rnacentral:lncRNA from 1 species
ACCGGCAGCUACCGGAUUCCUUUUGUGCUGCUGGAAAGGAGGCACAUUGUUCCCAUGCUCGUGCUCUAUGGGUAGAAGCUGCAAAUUCUGGAGGUCUUUUUCUAUGGUUCAUGUCUAUCAUAAUCGCAUCCUUCUUUUACGGUUUACAUAGACAUCUGAUGUUCGCCUUUUCUUAUAUCAGGUAUCAGACGAGGGUAUUCGAAGAAGACACCAUGAAUGGCAGCAGACUCUACCGCUUCCAUUACAAUGGUAUUCAAAAAAGAUACCACCUUGUGGCCUUUCCUGUUUCCUGUGACUACGACUUCCAACUCUUUAACUGGGAUGGUGUCAAAAGAAAUUCUGUAACUGGGACACAAUAAAAUAAAUUGGUACAACUAUGUGGAUUCCUUGGUAAGCUCAUGAUUCAUCUGGCUAAGCAGUCUUAGUAGACCGCCAAUGUUGUGUUAUUAAGAUGCAGGUUUCAAUAACCUUCAUGUUUGCGGCUAAAAUAAUGUAGUUAUCUCGGUAGUCUAGGUAGAUUGAAAUAAUUGUUUAUCCUUGAAGCAAAUCAACUAAACAACUGCCAGUAGAUGAUGAGGUGCCUUCUGCAAACAAAAAAGCUAAGCUCUAAGCGAGUAUUUUUAGGCGACCUAUCUUUUUCGGUGAUUUGUUUAAUCCUUCCUCUGCUCAAUUGAUGUGAAGCACAAACCUUGCUCUGCUAAAUUGAUGUGAACCACAAUCCUUGCUCUGCUCAAUUGAUCUUCCCAGCAAAUCAAUGAACAUGUGCCCACAGGGACACAGUCAAAGGUGCGCAUGUCAACUUAAUGGUUUUCAUCCAUAGUGCUUUGCCAUUAUUUUUAUUUUUAUUGUUUUUCUCAUUUGCCACUGUUGCCCAUUCUUUCUAGGACCAGUAUAUACAUCAUGAUUUUCUUUUUAUGACAUUGUUAUUUAUACUUGAAGCAAGGUAUCUGAAGACCUGAUGGGAAAUGAGGAGGUGCCCUUUGCAACUAAAAAGACUAAGUUGGAGACCAAG